rnacentral:rRNA from 1 species
GAUGAACGCUAGCGGCAGGCCUAACACAUGCAAGUCGAACGGUAAGUUAAGAGCUUGCUCUUAACACGAGUGGCGCACGGGUGCGUAACGCGUAUGCAAUCUACCCUUUUCUGGAAGAUAGCCCUUAGAAAUGAGGAUUAAUACUCCAUAGUAUAACAAUUUCGCAUGUUAUUGUUAUUAAAGCUUCGGCGGAAAAGGAUGAGCAUGCGUCCCAUUAGUUAGUUGGUAAGGUAACGGCUUACCAAGACUGCGAUGGGUAGGGGGCCUGAGAGGGUUAUCCCCCACACUGGUACUGAGACACGGACCAG